rnacentral:tRNA from 1 species
GCCAGCGUAGCUCAGUGGUAGAGCAACUGAUUCGUAAUCAGUAGGUCGUGAGUUCAACUCUCACCGCUGGCU